GACGAACGCUGGCGGCGUGCCUAAUACAUGCAAGUAGAACGCUGAAGGAGGAGCUUGCUCUUCUGGAUGAGUUGCGAACGGGUGAGUAACGCGUAGGUAACCUGCCUGGUAGCGGGGGAUAACUAUUGGAAACGAUAGCUAAUACCGCAUAAUAUUGACUAUUGCAUGAUAGUCAAUUGAAAGGUGCAAAUGCACCACUACCAGAUGGACCUGCGUUGUAUUAGCUAGUUGGUGGGGUAACGGCUCACCAAGGCGACGAUACAUAGCCGACCUGAGAGGGUGAUCGGCCACACUGGGACUGAGACACGGCCCAGACUCCUACGGGAGGCAGCAGUAGGGAAUCUUCGGCAAUGGACGGAAGUCUGACCGAGCAACGCCGCGUGAGUGAAGAAGGUUUUCGGAUCGUAAAGCUCUGUUGUAAGAGAAGAACGAGUGUGAGAGUGGAA
rnacentral:rRNA from 1 species